CACGUAGGAGGCGAGCGUUGUCCGGAAUCAUUGGGCGUAAAGAGCGUGUAGGCGGCCCGGUAAGUCCGCUGUGAAAGUCGAGGGCUCAACCCUCGAAUGCCGGUGGAUACUGUCGGGCUAGAGUGCGGAAGAGGCGAGUGGAAUUCCUGGUGUAGCGGUGAAAUGCGCAGAUAUCAGGAGGAACACCUAUUGCGAAGGCAGCUCGCUGGGACGUUACUGACGCUGAGACGCGAAAGCGUGGGGAGCAAACAGG
rnacentral:rRNA from 1 species